AAAAAUUCUGAAAUUAGGGUUUGCUAAUUAAUUAAGCUUUACCCUAAUUAAUAUUAUAAUUAAUAGCACUUAAGCAUUAUACUUAUCCGAUAAUUUCUCGGAUUAGGGUUUCGGACUCCCGGAACUGAAAUUAGGGUUUCCAGAACCGAUUUCUAGGGUUUCUUAUAAAACGUAAUAAUUUUAUAACUGAACGUGGACGUUCUUAAUAUAUACUAUUAGGGUUUGACACAGAUAUAAUUUAUCUGGUCAACACUUGACCCUUAACCACAUUCUGUACACAUGAUACCGUAAUCUUGAACAUAUACACAUAUACCCUUAAUCCUGAAUAAUUCACUAAAAGAAAUUUUAAAUGCUCAAAAUUCCUUUCUGAAAACAUCAAACACAUUCACUUAUUUUCUGUCUAGGUCUAUUAUUUGACCUUAAAACAAUCAUUUAAGAUUUUAAUAAUUUUCUAAUUUCUCGGGUUGUCACAUAU
rnacentral:lncRNA from 1 species